UACGUAGGGCGCAAGCGUUAUCCGGAAUUAUUGGGCGUAAAGAGCUCGUAGGCGGUUUGUCGCGUCUGCCGUGAAAGUCCGGGGCUCAACUCCGGAUCUGCGGUGGGUACGGGCAGACUAGAGUGAUGUAGGGGAGACUGGAAUUCCUGGUGUAGCGGUGAAAUGCGCAGAUAUCAGGAGGAACACCGAUGGCGAAGGCGGGUCUCUGGGACGGUACUGACGCUGAGACGCGAAAGCGUGGGGAUCAAACAGG
rnacentral:rRNA from 1 species